rnacentral:rRNA from 1 species
GACGAACGCUGGCGGCGUGCUUAACACAUGCAAGUCGAACGGAAAGGCCCUGCUUUUGUGGGGUGCUCGAGUGGCGAACGGGUGAGUAACACGUGAGUAACCUGCCCUUGACUUUGGGAUAACUUCAGGAAACUGGGGCUAAUACCGGAUAGGAGCUCCUGCUGCAUGGUGGGGGUUGGAAAGUUUCGGCGGUUGGGGAUGGACUCGCGGCUUAUCAGCUUGUUGGUGGGGUAGUGGCUUACCAAGGCUUUGACGGGUAGCCGGCCUGAGAGGGUGACCGGCCACAUUGGGACUGAGAUACGGCCCAGACUCCUACGGGAGGCAGCAGUGUGGAAUAUUGCACAAUGGGCGGAAGCCUGAUGCAGCCACGCCGCGGGCGGGAUAACGGCCUUCGGGUUGUAAACCGCUUUCGCCUGUGACGAAGCGUGAGUGACGGUAAUGGGUAAAGAAGCACCGGCUAACUACGUG